rnacentral:rRNA from 1 species
GAUGAACGCUAGCUACAGGCUUAACACAUGCAAGUCGAGGGGUAACGAGAGGAAAGCUUGCUUUCCUUGUCGACGACCGGCGCACGGGUGAGUAACGCGUAUCCAACCUGCCCCCAACUAGGGAAUAACCUUGCGAAAGUAAGACUAAUACCCUAUAAUUUCCUCAGAUGUCAUCUGACGAGGAAUAAAGAUUUAUCGGUUGUGGAUGGGGAUGCGUCUGAUUAGCUCGUUGGCGGGGUAACGGCCCACCAAGGCAACGAUCAGUAGGGGUUCUAAGGGGAAGGUCCCCCACAUUGGAACUGAGACACGGUCCAAACUCCUACGGGAUGCAGCAGUGAGGAAUAUUGGUCAAUUGGCGGAAGCCUGAACCAGCCAAGUAGCGUGCAGGAUGACGGCCCUAUGGGUUGUAAACUGCUUUUAUACAGGAAUAAAGUUAGCCACGUGUGGUUAUUUGUAGGUACUGUAUGAAUAAGGACCGGCUAAUUCCGUGCCAGCCGCCGCAGUAA